rnacentral:rRNA from 1 species
UACGGCAGGCAGCAGUGGGGAAUAUUGCACAAUGGGCGAAAGCCUGAUGCGGCUAUGCCGCGUGUAUGAAGAAGGCCUUAGGGUUGUAAAGUACUUUCAUCGGGGAGGAAAAAACAAAACUAAUAAUUUUAUUUCUUGACGUUACCCGAAAAAGAAGCACCGGCUAACUCCGUGCCAGCAGCCGCGGUAAUACGGAGGGUGCUAGCGUUAAUCAGAAUUACUGGGCGUAAAGAGCACGUAGGUGGUUUUUUUAAGUCAGAUGUGAAAUCCCUGGGCUUAACCUAGGAACUGCAUUUUGAAACUGAAAUACUAGAGUAUCGUAGAGGGAGGUAGAAUUCUAGGUGUAGCGGUGAAAUGCGUAGAUAUCUGGAGGAAUACCUGUGGCGAAAGCGGCCUCCUAAACGAAUACUGACACUGAGGUGCGAAAGCGUGGGGAGCAAACAGGGAUUAGAUACC